CCUACGGGUGGCAGCAGUGAGGAAUCUUUCUCAAUGGGCGCGAGCCUGAUCCAGCGAAGUAGCGUGAAGGAUGACUGCCCUACGGGUUGUAAACUCCUUUUAUAAAGGAGUAAAGUGAGGCACGUGUGCCUUUUUGCAUGUACUCUACGAAUAAGGUUCGGCUAACCCCGUGCCUGCAGCCGUGGCAAUACGGGGGAGCCGUGCGUUAUCCGGAUUUGUUGGGUUUAAAGGGGGUGUAGAUGGGUUGUUAAGUCAGUUGUGAAAGGUUGCGGCUCAACCGUAAGAUUGCAAUUGAUACUGGCAGUCUAGAGUACAGUAGGGGUAGGCGGAAUUCGUGGUGUAGCAGUGAAAUGCUUAGAUAUCGCGAAGAACCCCGAUUGCGAAGGCGGCUUACUAAACUGUGACUGACAUUGAUGCUCGAAGGUGAGGGGAGCGAACGGGAUUAGAUACCCCAGUAGUC
rnacentral:rRNA from 1 species